UCGCAAGAUUAAAACUCAAAGGAAUUGACGGGGGCCGCGCAAGCGGUGGAGCAUGUGGUUCAAUUCGAAGCAGCGCGCAGAACCUUACCAGGCCUUGACAUGUCCUCUAUGGAUUCCAGAGACGGAGUCCUUCACUUCGGGUGGGAGGAACACAGGUGCUGCAUGGCUGUCGUCAGGCUCGUGUCGUGAGAUGUUGGGGUUAAGUCCCGCAACGAGCGCAACCCUCGCCCUUAGUUGCCAUCAUUUAGUUGGGCACUCUAAGGGGACUGCCGGUGAUAAGCCGGAGGAAGGUGGGGAUGACGUCAAGUCCUCAUGGCCCUUACGGGCUGGGCUACACACGUGCUACAAUGGCGGUGACAGAGGGAUGCAAAGGGGCAACCCUUCGCAAAUCUCAAAAAGCCGUCUCAGUUCGGAUUGGGGUCUGCAACUCGACCCCAUGAAGUUGGAAUCGCUAGUAAUCGCAGAUCAGCACGCUGCGGUGAAUACGUUCCCGGGCCUUGUACACACCGCCCGUCACACCAUGGGAGUUGGCUUUACCUGAAGACGGUGCGCUAACCGCAAGGAGGCAGCCGGCCACGGUAGGGUCAGCGACUGGGGUGAAGUCGUAACAAGGUAGCCGUAGGGGAACCUGCGGCUGGAUCACCUCCUUA
rnacentral:rRNA from 1 species